UUAGGCAUGGUACCCCUUGGUAUAUAAUCUGGAUGUUAGAUCCAGUGAGUAAAGCAUCAGAUGUGGCUCUAUUAGGCAUGGGUUCUGGGACAGGAUGCAGGGGGCUGGUCUUGUUUCACUUCAUGGUGGUGGUGAACUCUCCUGCGUCAAGUUUUGCUUUGUGAUGUCAGAAAUGGCUGUUAUCCUCCUCCCUUCUGGGGACUAAACAUGUGAGUCUGUGUCCCUGCCGGAGUGCCCAUGGGGCCAAAUCUUGUUAAGUUCCUCUUUCAGUCUCUACUGACUUUCUCCUUGUCUGUAAAUCUGUACACCUUACUACUGGUGGCCCAUCCUGCAGCCUGUUACCAUCCUGUCUGUGAUCCAUGGCAGCUGUGGGGGUUGCGAUUCUCCUGAUGACAGAUCUAGGGCCAUGCCUGCUAGAGUAGAAGAAGGUGGGAGAGACAGAAGAACACGUGACAAUGGCUUGGGCUCCAAGAAGCUCCUGACCCCAUCUCACUCACACAUUAUACAGAGCUAAAGGCAAUGAGGUGAAGGCAGAAAGGCACCUGUCCUCCUCAUGCAGCUUGGAUGUCCACAUCACAAUUUCCAAGACAAGCUGGAUGGGUUGAGAAGCAAGAAGCAGUUCCUGGUUUUGAUCCAGGGCCCCCCUACUGGUCACCUGUCAGCUGGGAUGGACACUAAUUCCCACCUGAGUUGGCAGGGUGUAGGUUUGUCACCUGUGCAGUCCUGUUCUGUCUUUCCUGCAAAGCUAGCAAAGAACUGACCACAAGGAGCAGAGCCACAGCCUGUCUGGAGUCAUUGAACACUGCACAGUGUUGGCUUUGUUUUGUUUUUGUAUAAUGAAGCCUUGAUGAGGCUUAAGAUCCCGCGUCAAUCAGCUGGGUAUACAGACCCAGGUAAUACUGCCUUGUUGAGAAAGGACAAGCCUGAGAACCUCCCCAGGUGGUUGAUCGCUUCCAGUCAAGUCUGUGGAUGAUGCUGAAUGCUGUCCAGUUACACAGCCGGUCUGUUAUCAAAAUAGGAUCCUUAACCUACUUAGUUAAGAAGUGGCCUUUUGAGUCACAGUUUUCUUAGGUCCUGGGAUACAAUAGAAGGAUUUCUAUUUAAGCCUCAUCCAACUUUCCACCUGUGUCAUAUCUACAUGAGUUUAUGCCCCCAUGUCAUGUCUACAUGAGUUUACACCCCCAUGUCAUGUCUACAUGAAUUUAUACCUUCACGUAAGCAAGCAUCCAUCCUCAUAGGUCUCCCCGGAGUGUCCUGAGAUUCAGGACCAGGAAUUACAGCAACCACGCUGUGCUGUGCAAUACUUUUUUGUGUAUUAUUGAUGGUACUUUGUGGAAGUAAAUUGUACCACCCCCACAGUUCCUCAAGCCAUCACUGCCAGUCUAUUAGCAUUUUGUGGCCGGAGGGGACAGCUGGCUGGCUGUUUGAGCCCUGUGAAAGAUCCCACCGGCAAAGCAGCAUGCCAAAAGUGC
rnacentral:lncRNA from 1 species